rnacentral:misc_RNA from 1 species
AAAGUCGUAACAAGGUUUCCGUAGGUGAACCUGCGGAAGGAUCAUUACCGAGUUCAUGCCCUUACGGGUAGAUCUCCCACCCUUUGUAUACUAUACCUUUGUUGCUUUGGCGGGCCGCCUAGCUACUGGCUUCGGCUGGUAAGUGCCCGCCAGAGGACCCAAAACCCUGAAUUAUUAGUGUCGUCUGAGUAAAAAAGUUAAUAUUUAAAACUUUCAACAACGGAUCUCUUGGCUCUG